CACUUCUAAGGAAGGCAGCAGGCGCGCAAAUUACCCAAUCCUGACUCAGGGAGGUAGUGACAAGAAAUAACAAUAAACCGGCUUAUGCCGGUUUAAUUGGAAUGAGUACAAUUUAAACAUCUUAACGAGGAACAAUUGGAGGGCAAGUCUGGUGCCAGCAGCCGCGGUAAUUCCAGCUCCAAUAGCGUAUACUAAAGUUGUUGCAGUUAAAAAGCUCGUAGUUGGAUUUCUGUGGGGACGGAGCGGCCGGCCGCAACACGCGGUUCGAGCUAGCGCUUUCCCUACAUCCUGCCGCGAACCGUGCUACCAUUAGUUUGGUGGCGCCGGGGAUCGGCUCGAUUACUUUGAGAAAAAUAGAGUGUUCAAAGCAGGCCACAUGCCUUGAAUAAGUUAGCAUGGAAUAAUAACUAAGGACUUCGGUUCUACUUUGUUGGUGUUCGGGACUGAAGUAAUGAUUGAUAGGGACAGUUGGGGCGGUCUGUAUUCCAAAGCGAGAGGUGAAAUUCUUAGACCUUCGGAAGACAAACAGCUGCGAAAGCGUUCCGCAAGGAUGUUCCCUUUGAUCAAGAACGAAAGUUGGGGGAUCGAAGACGAUCAGAUACCGUCGUAGUCUCAACUAUAAACUAUACCAGCUAGGGAUCGGCCAACGUUAUUUCAUACCGACUUGGUCGGCACCUUAUGAGAAAUCAAAGCAUCUGGGUUCCGGGGGGAGUAUGGUCGCAAGGCUGAAACUUAAAGGAAUUGACGGAAGGGCACCACCAGCCGUGGAGCCUGUGGCUUAAUUUGACUCAACACGGGAAAACUUACCAGGUCCAGACAUAGUAAGGAUUGACAGAUUGAUAGCUCUUUCUUGAUUCUGUGGGUGGUGGUGCAUGGCCGUUCUUGGUUGGUGGAGUGAUUUGUCUGGUUAAUUCCGUUAACGAACGAGACCCCAGCCUGCUAAAUAGCGCGCGUGAGCUUUGCUCGCGGCGAGCUUCUUAGAGGGACUCUGAUGCGCGAUAGCACAUGGAAGUUUGGGGCAAUAACAGGUCUGUGAUGCCCUUAGAUGUUCUGGGCCGCACACGGGCUACACUGGCGCCUGCAACGAGCAUAUCAGCUGGCCCGAGAGGGUCUUGGCUAAUCUUUUGAACCGGCGCCGUGCUUGGGAUUGACCUUUGCAAUUGUUGGUCAUGCAACGAGGAAUGCCUUGUAAACGCGAGUCAUCAGCUCGCAUUGAAUACGUCCCUGCCCUUUGUACACACCGCCCGUUGCUCCUACCGAUGAAUGUUCCGAUGAAAUUUUCGGAGAGCACCUGUGAACUUGGCUCUGCCUUGCGAACGGGAGGCUCAAAGUCACUUAAAUCUGAACAUUUCGAGG
rnacentral:rRNA from 1 species